GCGGCCGUCGUCUAGUCUGGUUAGGACACAGAAAAGCCCUUAAAAGCCUGCGAUCCCGGGUUCGAAUCCCGGCGGCCGCA
rnacentral:tRNA from 1 species